rnacentral:lncRNA from 1 species
AAGGAGGGGCAAUAUUGGAAAAGUUCACUUUGAAAAAGGUGGAUGGUGUUUGUUUUGUGAUAAAAUUUAACGGAGGAAUGAUUGUUGCAACUCUUUAAAUAAUACAAGGAUAAUUUUUGUUUAGUGGGGUAAGACAAGGAUGUAGUGUCACUUUUUGUGAUAGUUUAAGGUUGAUUCAUGCCAAAAACUCCAAAAUAUGAAGCUGAAUAAAGAUAGUUGGCAGCCCCCCGAACAAGUGGCAGCUCACUUCCUCAGAUACUACAAUGGAAAUGCAAGAAGAUGUUAAGCGUCUGCCGCAUCCGAUUGAGAGCAAUAAUGUAAUGAUCUGAUCCGUCAUUGUGUAUUUUAGCCCUGUUUUUUCUAUUUGAUGUUUUAUAUAUGUGUAUUUGUCGUUAUGUGACUUGCAAAAACAGUUGGUUUGAUUUUGAAAAUGUUUUGAAUUGAAUUGGGAUAUUUAGUUUCAAGGCUGGGGAGCUUAGGUUUUGAGAGAUGACCUGAGUUUGACUUUUGUAUAGACGACCCCGGAAUAGUGUUUUGAUGGUCCUAAUAGAAAUGUAUGUACAUCAAUUUUGGAUAGGCGUAUGUCCGGAUUUGGAUUUGGAUUUAGAGGUUCCUAGGCGAAAGUUGAAGGUUUGGAAGGUUCAUAGGUUUCACCGGAAAAUGACUUUGUUGAUAUCAGAUUCAAAUUGUGGUUCUGGUAGUUGGAAUAGAUCUGCUACGUCAUUUUGCUAUUGGUGUGCAAAAUUUGUGGUUAUUACGAGGUGAUUUGAUAUGGUGAGAUAUGUGUUUUGGUAGUUAGAAGUUGAAUAGUUCCUUAGACUUGAAUCGAGGCACAAUUCAUGAUUUUGAUAUUAUUUUGUGUGAUUUAAGGCCUCGAGUAGAUCCGUAUUACAGUUUUAGAUCGGUUUGUGUGUUUAAACGGGGUCUCGAGGGACUCGAGUGUGUUUCAAAUGAGUUGCAAAUCAUUUCUAUAUUUUUGGGUAGAUCUGUUUUGGUGUUUUUGCACAUAUGAGAGUUUGACCUCAGGUGCGAGUUCGCAUAAGUGGACCUAGGGGCCACAGAUGCGGUGCAUGACUGGGAAGAUUGAGUCCGCUUAUGCGUACUGGGGAGCACUGAUGCGCAAGCGGAGAAACGCAGGUUCUUCUGCAAAAGUGGACAUGCAGGUGCGCCUCGGUGUUCGUAAAAGCGACUGGUGGGGAGGAUUAAUAACAUUCACAUCUGCGAUGGAUUUUCCGUAAAUGCGAUAUUGAAGAAGGGGGAUUUUGUCUGCAAAUACGAAAAUUGAUAGAUUAUAUUAUUUUGAGGGUUUGGUGAUUUUUUAUUAUGAGUUGUGGAGCUCGCUAGAGGCAAUUUUUGAAGGUUUCUUACUACAAUUGAAAGGUAAAUAUCUCUAUUAGACUUUCAAUGUUAGAUAUUAAUUUUUCAUGUAUUAUUACACCUAGUUUAUGUGAAUUUAAGGAAGAAUUUUUUUGGGGGGAGGGGAGGGGGGUUGUUGCGACUUUUGGAGAGUGAAAUGUGGUGAUUUGGGGGGAGAUCUAAAAUUGAAUUCGGAUGAAACACACAUAUUUGUACUCGUAUUGGAAUGGGUGUUCGAAAUUAUAUAUUUUGUCGCAUUUCGAAAUGCAGGCCCGAGUUUGAUUUUUGUGUUAAAUUUGCAUAUUUGUAUCAAAAUCUUAGUUUUAAUGAUUGGGAUUGUUUUCUAUGGCUUUUAUUGAUAUUAUUAAGCUAUUUUAGCUAAAUUCAAGCGGUUAGAGGUUGAUUCACGCAGAAAGAGAUUCUUGUAGUAUUGAUUUGACUUGCUUGAGGUAGGAGUCUUACCUAAACUUAGUUGAGGCACCUGCUUCUUGAGUUAUUGGUGAUAGCUACAUGCUAUGUGUGUCACACAUGUGAGGGCAUUGAACUCAUGUGCGUGCAUGAGGUAAUAUCCAUGCUCGUGGUAGUGAUUAGACUAUUAUAUGUUUUGAAUUAAUUUCUAAGCUUCAGGUUAUCAUACUUCUUAUGUUUUACUCCUUUGUGAGCUAUUUGAAUCAUGUUAGAGAUUAUUUGUCGGUUUAUCUCCUGGUCAAACAUGUUAGUACCUAUUCUUGUGGCGUAAUCACCUGACUAGAAUUGUCGUACCACACUUCGCGCAUGCCUACACGUUAGAAUGUCACUUAUAUCGGUCCAUAAGUAUAUAAAUUGAUAUUCAUUGUUCAUAUACGUGUAUUAUUGUAUAUGUUUUUUUGUGUGAUAUGGACUGAGUUGUUCGUAAGGAUCUGAGUUAUGUUAGCACGUGAGUUAUCCGUGCAGUGAUUAUAUAUGUCACUUGAGUUGUCCAUACACUUGUAGUGUAUGGAUAUCGAUCCAUCUACCUAGGGUCAUUCUCUCAUGUUUCUCUCUAGAGAACGUACACACGAUAUGAGAAAACUGGACAGUUUUUGAUUUGGUUCUUGCAUUUCUUCUCUGCUUGUAAUUGUCUUGGAUGUAUACAUGUUUUAUUUGAAUAUCUUCUCUAUAUGCUAGAUCAGGAAUGUACACAUGCUUUUUUGUGCAUAUGUUCUCCAUAUGAUGAAUUGUUAAAGAAACAGAGCAUGUUGCUUUAUCUCAUACAUACUAAGAUGACUUUAUCCAUGGUUUACGACUUGAUAAUAUUAGUUGAUGUGUACUUGUGAGAUUACCUAGCAGGUUAUUAGCGAGUAUGAACUCUAUUGUCUAUUACCUCGUCGAGGUUGGUUAUGAUAAUUACUGAGUAUAUGGGGCCAAUUAUAGUCAUACUAUAUUCUGCACUUAACUGUGUAGAUCUAAGUGUUGGACCGAGCCAUAAGUAGUUGUGACUGUCUUUGAGAGGCGAGAUGGAUCUGCAUCUCGAGCGUAGUCUUGGCGUCUCUUUUUAUUUAUGUACUGUUGUUUUCAUUCAGAUAGUCUUCCAUUUUGUAUUUAAGACUUGUACUUUUAUUUUAGAGCUCAUGACUCUGUAUUACAAGUUCCAGGAAAUUUUUAUGUAUCAACGCAG